CACACAGCGGUGGGAACGGCAGGUUUAAUCAGCAAGAAUGGCUGAGUGUGUUUGAGCAAGGCUGCCUGCAAUCAGUGGAGAGAUUACCCUCCACCAGGGCUCCAGAAUAUAGCCCAGCAUCCCUGAGCUUCACAGAUGAAGAGCUUCACUUCCUGGUGCAGAGGACAGGAUGGGAGGUGGAGGGCUCUGGUCCCUAACACGUGCCGCGCCCCGGAGUGAGCAAGCCGAUAGUCUUCCCUGUAAAGAACAGCCCAUCCUUCGAGAUGUGAUUCUCCUACUGAGGCUGCACAACCCACAGAAACAGAAAGCUAAUUGGCUCUUUCAAGACGGCGGAGAAUAUGGGUGACAAAUUGCUUGCUAGCUAUUCAGUGGCAGGAUGCUGUGACAGAGGGCUGCAAAUGCCACUCCGGGGAUGUGAUAAUGAAGGCUCCGCAUGCACAA